rnacentral:misc_RNA from 1 species
GAUGAAGAACGCAGCGAAAUGCGAUAAGUAAUGUGAAUUGCAGAAUUCCGUGAAUCAUCGAGUCUUUGAACGCACAUUGCGCCCUCUGGUAUUCCGGAGGGCAUGCCUGUCCGAGCGUCAUUGCUGCCCUCAAGCACGGCUUGUGUGUUGGGCCCCGCCCCCCGAUCCCGGGGGGCGGGCCCGAAAGGCAGCGGCGGCACCGCGUCCGGUCCUCGAGCGUAUGGGGCUUUGUCACCGCUCUGUAGGCCCGGCCGGCGCUUGCCGAUCAACCAAACUUUUUUCCAGGUUGACCUCGGAUCAGGUAGGGAUACCCGCUGAACUUAAGCAUAUCAAUAAGCGGAGGA